UUAAAGACGGGUUACAGUCCGUGCUGCGCAUGUGCGAUUCUUUUUGUUUUGGUAGACUACUUAUCUUUCGUUUCCAUGGUUUCCAGUCCGAUUGCGUAAUAUACGCGCGAUUCUAUAUUUGUUGAUACAAGGAGUGGGAAUACACAGUUUCGAAGAGAUUUUCAACGAUUUGUGACUUUUAUGAAGUGAAAUCCGAUUAAUAACAAAUCAUUGAAACAAUAUGAGAAGAAGGAAAGAAUAUUACGCCAACAAGGAUGCCUUUAAAGUGUGUUUAUUUGAAAUUCAGUCAAGCGCUUCGCCAUGUCGUACAUAUAAAGGUAAAUAUUUGUUUAAUACAUUUGAUUAUUUCGUUCUCCUGAGUCGAGACUGGAUCUCUAAUUCGCUGUGAAUUUGUGACAAUUUUUAAGCUAGG